AUUGAACGCUGGCGGCAGGCCUAACACAUGCCAGUCGAGCGGAUGAAGGGAGCUUGCUCCUGGAUUCAGCGGCGGACGGGUGAGUAAUGCCUAGGAAUCUGCCUGGUAGUGGGGGAUAACGUCCGGAAACGGGCGCUAAUACCGCAUACGUCCUGAGGGAGAAAGUGGGGGAUCUUCGGACCUCACGCUAUCAGAUGAGCCUAGGUCGGAUUAGCUAGUUGGUGGGGUAAAGGCCUACCAAGGCGACGAUCCGUAACUGGUCUGAGAGGAUGAUCAGUCACACUGGAACUGAGACACGGUCCAGACUCCUACGGGAGGCAGCAGUGAGGAAUAUUGGACAAUGGGCGAAAGCCUGAUCCAGCCAUGCCGCGUGUGUGAAGAAGGUCUUCGGAUUGUAAAGCACUUUAAGUUGGGAGGAAGGGCAGUAAGUUAAUACCUUGCUGUUUUGACGUUACCAACAGAAUAAGCACCGGCUAACUUCGUG
rnacentral:rRNA from 1 species